rnacentral:sRNA from 1 species
GGGGGUAGUACAUUAUAUAACCUAUUGAAUCUAAUAAAUAUAGCUAGUAUAUCAUAAUAAUAAGUCACAUAUUUUUUGCCGGUGCCUUUCAAACUCUGAGAAUCUACAAUUUUUAAGCAAAAUAUAUUUCUCCACGGAUAUUCUGUUUUUCAUUAUAUUUUCGAGUGCACCAAAAUUCAGCUUUGGAACUUCUUUAUAUCUACUUACGGAAAAAGUCUUUAAGGUUUAAAAUUUCAAUUAGUCUUAGUAAUUCAAGUCUUGAUUUGGGAUUAUUCAAGCUUUUGUAAUUCAUUGAAUCUAACUCUUUAUCAAAAAUUAAAUUAAAGUCACCACCAAGAACAAUACGUUGGUUCGUAAAAAGAUUCUCACUAUGCUGUAAUAAGUUUGUAUAAAAUGUAGGUGUAUCUAGAUUUGGGCCAUAUACGUUUACCAGUAGAACAUGUAAAUCAUCAACAGAAACAUCAAGAAUAAGAAAGUUGCCACUAUCAUCUUUAAAUGUUUUGUGAACCUCUAAUUCACAGUUGUUGUUAAAAAGAAUAGCUACACCAUUGGAGUUUGACUUAAAAGAACUAAAAAAAGCUUUAUAACCCCAUUGUGAUUUAAUCAUAUUUUCUUCUUUUUCUGUAAAAUGGGUAUCCUGUAAAAAGUAUAUAUGAUAAUUUUUGUUUCUAAGGGUUUGAAAAACGUCUUUCCUCUUGUUUCCAUCACCAAGGCCCUGACAGUUUACUGUUAAAAUUUUAAGGAGGUUUUCUUGGUGUUUGUUUAUUUGUUCUACCAUGAUAUAAAAAAGUGGAAAAGAAUACUGCACCCCCACAUUGUGUUGAUAGAGAAAGAAGAGUAAAAAAUAAGUCGUGAAUCCAGGAUGCACAUACGGUUGAACCAAAAACAUGAUUUAGAUAUCAACCUUGCACAGAGAAGAUUAACCAAAAAUCAUUAUGGAUCUAAUAUUUAAGAGAAUAAUGUGUAUGUAAUAAAAAGAUUAAUAACAAUCGGCGUGAAGGAAACAUUAAAUGUAGAGUAACUCUUCGUAAAAGAAAAUAAAUAUAGUAAUACGAAAAGGUUGUGAUUUGGCUAGGUAGCAUCAGUAAAUAUAUACAAGUCGUCACUGUUAACGUCUCAGGAGAAACACAACCUUAACUUGAGUUACAUACUUUUUUUAACGUUAGUAAUGGACAUGACAUUUCCACUCUACAUUAAUGUUCCAUCAACGUGGUGUGAAUUGUGGAUGAC